rnacentral:rRNA from 1 species
ACAGAGUUGAUCCUGGCUCAGAUUGAACGCUGGCGGCAGGCCUAACACAUUCCCCCCCAGCGGAUGAUGGGAGCUUGCUCCCGGAUUCAGCGGCGGACGGGUGAGUAAUGCCUACGAAUCUGCCUGGUAGUGGGGGACAACGUUUCGAAAGGAACGCUAAUACCGCAUACGUCCUACGGGAGAAAGCAGGGGACCUUCGGGCCUUGCGCUAUCAGAUGAGCCUAGGUCGGAUUAGCUAGUUGGUGGGGUAAAGGCCUACCAAGGCGACGAUCCGUAACUGGUCUGAGAGGAUGAUCAGUCACACUGCAACUGAGACACGGUCCAGACUCCUACGGGAGGCAGCAGUGGGGAAUAUUGGACAAUGGGCGAAAGCCUGAUCCAGCCAUGCCGCGUGUGUGAAGAAGGUCUUCGGAUUGUAAAGCACUUUAAGUUGGGAGGAAGGGCAGUAAGUUAAUACCUUGC